AGAAAAAAAAGCCCACUCCACGCACCCUCGUCCAUCACCUCGCCCGAUCCCCAACCUCCCGAUCUUCCCAGUCCCAGCGACGCCCACCUUCCCCUGACCCUGCCUCCACCCGGCGUCGCCGCCCCGCCCGCUCCCACUCCCGCCCCGCCGGCAAGCCGGGCGCCUCCAUGCCCUCCCUUCCCUUUGACCGAUCUCCUGCUUCCUCCCCGUCGACACCGUGGGAGCACCCAUCCCGCCGCCCAGACCCCAUCCGGUGUUGCCGCCACCGCCACGCAGCCGCAUCCACGCCCCUGCCGGCGUUGCCGCCACAGCCCCACCCCCACCAGUGACGCCACCACAGCGUCGACCCCAGCCGAUGACGCGCCACACCACCUGCCGGAGCACCUCGGGGUCGCCCGAUCCGGCGAGGAUCCUUCACCACCCUCCACUCUCCGGCGACCACUAGCACGCGGGCGGAUGGGGUGCUAUCCUGCAGAUCGAGGAGGCGUCGAACUUUAGAUGGAGGAGGCCACAACCUGCAGCUGGCUGCGCGCCAUGGUCGCGCGUCGCGGGCAACCUCCUUCACGCUCGACACCUCCUGAGCGUUGGAGUGAAGAGCAUUUUCUUUAGGGCAGUGGAGAGCACCCUCACCCUGAUCCGAUCUGCAGCAGCACCCGAGUCCUCCCAAAGCAGCCCUGGUCCGUUCCAGUAUGCAGUGCCGGGCUGUGCAACGAUGGAGAUGCCGACCGUUCGUGAACACAACACCCCGGAUCCUGCUGCACACCAUCAAGUUCAACUUCUGUUGAAUCCUGUAAAGGGAGACUUAUUGUGUUGAUCCUGGUGCUUGUCGCCAUUCACGAGGAAAGAUAGUCGGUCUUUGAAUGGGUGAGUGAUCUUGCUGUUGCUGGGAUGCUAUUCAACAUGGGGAUUUGAUCUCCCUUGAGGUGCAGUGUAGCGAGAUAUAUGCUGCUGCCACUUUUGGAUUUAUUGUUGAGAUGGUCGCUCAAGCUCAAUAUUGAUUAAUCCUUCCCCUAUAUCUUUCCCUACAUGCUCUGUAGGUCAUCAGUAAGAACAAAAGUAUGCCUCUAAGCUGCCUAUGUCUAUUCCACAAGAUAAAUUAGUAUGGCUGCACACGGUCGACUGUUCUUAACCAGUUUCUGUAGUAAUUUGUAUGGCUGACAAUCUUCAGCAGUAAUUAAGAUGGUUGCAGUCCACUGUGUCUGAUUUUCAGCAGGCCAACUUGAUUAAUGCUAGUGCAACUCAUCUUCAAAAGUGUACAUGGGCGCAGUGUGAAAUUUGUUCCUUCUGUUGUUAUUUAGAUAGAUCACACUAGAACAUUUUGUACGAACCAUUUACUCAAGUGAGAGAGAUAGGCUUCUUCGUAGUUCAUCUAUUUCCUGGCAAAAGCAGAAAGUGUAACGACAUUUGUUCCCCUAUGUGAAUAAAUUUGUGUUCCUAUGUGAA